rnacentral:tRNA from 1 species
GCCAGCGUAGCUCAGCCUGGUAGAGCACUCCAAUCGGGCUCGAUUGCCUCGUAAGCAAGGGGUCCCGCGUCCAAAUCGCGGCGCUGGCU